ACGCCAGAAGCUGGUCCAGGGCAAACAAGACAGGCUCCCGAGAGCCCUGAGAGCUCAAGUUCUCCUUUGCUCAUUGCAAACCUGUGCGAGACUGAGCACGAGGAUGAAAGCCACCAACGUGCAGCUCUGAACAGAAUGUACUGUUCACCGACUGUCCAUCCAUCAUCUUACCCCGUAUCCCAGAAGGCACAGUGUUCCCAUAAUAUAGUCGUUUAGUGGAAACCAAGCGUUCUGACCAUCCCUUUUUCUGUACUAGCUUGUUUAUUCCGAGUCGUAAAAACAGAGCAAGUGCCAAGGGGCCAAGAUGGCCUGUGGGAGGAAGAGCUUGUGUAACAGUUGCCCUUGGGGGGAAAGGCAGGCCCUUGGGAUAACUUCUGCUUUGAUGCAAGAUGGUCUCCUUGCAUUUUUAUGGGAUGGAGGUCAGCCUCCAUGGGAAGCAGCAGAAGCAAGGGAAAGGAUAGCAAGCAUAGGGACUGUGUGCGGUGCGUGGCCUGUGGCUCCCAUGGCGGCAGCACGGGAGCACACCUGGAGACCAGCCAGGCUUUCUCUGGGGAGAGUGGAGUGCAUGGCCCGUUUAUCUCCCCGGGCUCACUAUUCCUACAGUGAGCUGGUGGGCAUGUUCGCAAAGCUCACCCAGGAUGGACCACCAGCCGCAGAGCCCAGCACUGCAGUCCCUCUCUCGGGAGCCUUUCCGCUCUCUGGAAGAAUAACGUAGCUCCCUGUCCUUCCACUCAUCCUGAACCGUCUGAGGUCAAUAAAGCAAACCCUGUGGCUUCGUUAACCGUCGGGCAGCCCAGCAAGACAGAGAGACUAGCCCCACAACGGAUGGCUGUGGAAACAUAUGUGUGCCCCUGGGGGGGUGUGUGUGCAUGCAUGGUGUGUUUGCAUGCUUGUGCAUGGGUGUGCUGUGUGUGCGCAUGUGUGUGUUGCAUGUGUGCGUGGGUGGGAAUGCAUGUGUUGUGACAUGCGUGUGAGUGUGUGUUGCAUGUGUGCAGGUAUGUGCAUGGGUGUGUGGGUGUUUGUCAGGAAGCUGCUAAGAGAACAAGUUAUUACGGAUCACAGAGACCUGGAACCCUGUAACUGGGACACGGAAGGGUAGAUCCAGGAAUCAACAGAACAGGCCUGGAUGAGAUUUGAACCCCCAGCCUCACAUCACCGCGGCCCCAGCCAGGAGCUCGCUCACCGUUUGUCCAACAGAUGCCCAGACUGCGCAGAUGUUCCAGAUAAAGGAUUUGUCUUUUGGAAACUUAAAACCGUCCGCUCCGUGGAGGGCUACCCUACAGGAGCUGGGCCGGGAGCAGGGGCACAGGAAAGGUCAGCCCCGGAGGCUCUACUUUCCUCCCAGGAACGGGGUCCACAGGGGAAGGCGGGGCCAGCAGGAGCGGGAGGGGCAAUGUGGGCCUGGUGCCUGGUCUGGUCCUCCCGGGGCACCUGGGAAGGGCCCAUGGGGACCACAAUCACCUUCCUGCCCGGCUGCUGAGGAAAUCCCACACUAAGCCAGCUGGUGUGUCCUCUUCGGUUACUAACGUCCGCCGGACAUCCCGGCGGGGCACCGUGGCCCACGACAGCCACCUCUCCACCAAUGACAGCAUCGCAGACCGUGCCAUUUUGUACUUCUGUGUCCUCUUUCUCUCCAACUAGGUUCUAUAACCUAAAUACAGCUCCCAGGGGCUCACCACCUCCAACCAGAGACGUGAGUUGCAGAUAUGGUCCAAACACUGCCUCCCAGGUCCACCCUCCCAGGAUCCAAGGUCCCGGGUCUGCUGCCGUGGGGGGCUCCGGGUAGCCAACAGAAAGCACCAAACUUGAACUGGGGGAGGCCCAUGGGGAGGCAGAGCCCUGACCUCCAGGCAUCCUGGCCCAGCCAGAUCAGCACCAGAGAGAGCAAGAGAACUGCGAGCCUGGGCCAGGCCCUCAGGAGACACAGGCCAGAUCCUUGGGAGACACAGGAAACCCCCAAAUCCAAUGGGCUCUGGGGCCAUUGGCUCUGCAGAGAAGCUGGGAAAGUGCCAAAGGGCCUCAGGAAGCCCCUGACUCCUCCUUCCCUCUGACACCUGCUGCCCAGUCUGCCCAGGCCCUAGCCGCCACUGGCACGCCGACCUCAUACCUUCAGAACUCACCAGCACCCCCACGAAUGCCCCACAUCCAGGCUGACCCUUACAGGCAGUCGUCAGCAUCUGGUGGCCACCCCUUCCGCGAGGCCCCAUCCUCCUCCUGCCGCUCCCCGCCUUCCUGGAGGACAGAGCCAAGAUCCUCCCUGCAGGUCCCAGCCGGGGGUCCCCAGCCCGCUCCUUGCCCCUUCCUCUGUCCUUCACGACAUCGGCGCUUCUCGCUCUGUGUUUCUUCCUAGGGCGAAAAAGAAGUUGGUGUUGCGUCCUAUAGAAUACAAGGUCUUCAAAUUGUCCAGCAUCUAGAGUCCACGCCAGGAUGGGCCCUUGGUCAACGUGCUUGAUGCUGAUGACAGUCGUGCAGAGUGCUGUGGCAAAUGGUCAUUUGCCAGGAUGCAGCCUGACUGGCGUGGACACCCACCCCGCAGGACACCACCCUGAUGCAGAGAGGUCAACUCUCCAAGAAGCAAGUAGAGUUGAUAUAUGAGAAACAGAAUGCUUUCAUUCUGGGAAGAAGAAUUAAGCUCCUACAGUCCUGUUUUCCUGUGAUGGUUUCCAGGAUUUGGAGAGAAUUUAAAAAGUGGAGCCCGACAGGGUGAAUCAGCCACCUGGGACUGCUGGUAAUUCAGGAGAGUUUACUCAGUAGAAAAACAACACAGCACCCCGCCUUUGCCCAGAAGGCUCCCUGGCCCGCCGGGCCGCCUGCUCCCAGCAGGCCAGCCCCACACGCCCGUCCCUGGCUGGACAGGGUUCCGGCCAAGCACGGUGCAGCCCAGACAUCCUGGCCUAAUAAAGAAGAUUGAUUCACUCAGGAUACUUCCCCCUCAAUGUUUCUCAAAGAAAGUCUUUGUGGGAAGGACUUAAAUUCUUUUACUCCUGUAAGUCUGGAAAUGGGGCUAUGAACAGCAGCAGCCCGCGGAACCCGGCUGUGGGCAAAGAGCCCUCAGCAUAGCAGGUGGAGGAUGCUUGUUCCGCUCACAGUCGCUCCCCCCACUUGUGUGGACGCCGUCUUCCCGUUGUUUGCACAGCUCUUUGCAGCCCUAUCACAGCCAUGACGAAAUGAUGACUCACACUUAAAUGCAGUCAUCAUGUCAUACAUGGCAUUAACACUGCAGAGACAUUGCCGUCAGCCCCGUGCCUGUAAGAGGAAAAGACUCCUGGGAGCGUUCU